rnacentral:lncRNA from 1 species
CCACAUUGCUACUGCAAGGGAAGGGAAGAGAGAAAGAGACGUAGAGAAAGUGGUGUGUGCUGUAGACAUAGACAAAGAGGUAGACAUAGACAAAGAGAGAGAGGGUUUUGUCAGGGGUAGCUUUGUAAACUUGCAGUGAACAAAGUGGGAUGUUCUUUUAAAUUGGGUGAGAGGAGACAAAAAAGGAUCGUCCAAUAUGGACGUUUCUCUACCCCAUGUUCCCCAGCUUUUUUCUAUGUAUAUAUAUGGUCAGGGAUUUCUUGCAAACAAUCUUCACAAAUUAUACAGAGGUCAUUUGUUUUACUACAAUUUUUAGAUAUGUACUAUUUUUAACAAUCACCAAUAAAUAAAUAUUUAAAGCAUUCACUAAUAAAUGAUUUUUUAACCCAUUUAAUAUGGGUUGUUUAUUUAGUGAGAUAUUUAAUUC